CCCGCCUACGGAAGGCAGCAGUGGGGAAUCUUGCACAAUGGGGUCACCCCUGAUGCAGCCAUGCCGCGUGGAGGAAGACACCCCUAUGGGGCGUAAACUCCUUUUCUGAAUGAAGAAACCCCUGUAGGUUCAGGGCGCGACGGUAGUUCAGGAAUAAGCACCGGCUAACUCCGUGCCAGCAGCCGCGGUAAUACGGAGGGUGCAAGCGUUGUCCGGAAUCACUGGGUGUAAAGGGUGUGCAGGCGGGGCAACAAGUCGGAUGUGAAACCCCAUGGCUCAACCAUGGAGGUGCAUUCGAAACUGUUGCUCUUGGUCCCGGAGAGGCUGUCGGAAUUCGUGGUGUAGCGGUGAAAUGCGUAGAUAUCACGAGGAACACCAGAGGCGAAAGCGGGCAGCUGGACGGGUACUGACGCUCAGGCACGAAAGCGUGGGGAGCAAACAGGAUUAGAUACCCUGGUAGUCCACGCCGUAAACGAUGAACGCUCGCCGUUGCCCCGUCAAGGGGCAGUGGCUAAGUUAACGCGUUAAGCGUCCACCUGGGGAGUCGUUGACAUGG
rnacentral:rRNA from 1 species